UGUAUUUUGCAUUCAUAAUAAAUUAAAUUUACGUAAGUUUUCCCCAUCAAACUAUAUUAUAACUUCCAAUUUUCGCUAUUAUAAGCAAAGCAAUUAAUGCGUUGAGGAAAUACAAGACGUGAUAAACCUUCCUAGUGAAUUGAGUAGAUGUUAGAAUAAAAUGCCAACAGUUCUUCGUAUGAAUGAAUGCAAAAUAUAAAGUGGACCGCAGAUCUACCACCCAAUACCCAUGGGAUUAAAAUAAAGACAACAAACUAAUGAAUUCAGGUCCAGCUGCAAUUCUGAAAUUGUCCAUCUUUGAUCAUGACAGCAAUGCUAUCCACUACGUUCUACAGCUUCAGUGCAUUUCUUGCCAUAGACAGAGCUCCCUCAAAAGUUUGAUUUCCACCGAUGAAUCCGCUCAUAUGGACAAAAACACAACCAGGGAUUCCAGAUUCCCUUGAGAGCUCAUCAUCCCUAAGACCUCGCCACUGAGCUGGUAGAGGCCUCCGGCUUUCAAAUCUAUCUGCACCGAUUGCCACUGCCUGCACUCGCCAAUGUUUACUCCUGUCAUCCUGAUAAAGAACAUAUUUAAUUGAAGGGUCAAUCUUCAGUUCUUCCUCAAGCUCGAAUAAGUGAAGUUUCCAAGGACAGAAUGUAGCCAAAACCAUAAUUUCACCACUAGGGUCGACAUCAAAUCUAGCUGCAAGACACUCCAUUACAAUUGACCGUGCUGGUAACCAAGACCUUGCAUGAAAGCGAACAUUAUCUAAAAACUCACUGCCUGCCAGCGCCAUUGCUUGUUGGAAGGCCUGAUUCUCCUUCUCAGGUGAUUGAUCAGGAUCAAUCCAAUCCAAAUUCAAUCUCCCAACCCUUGAAGACAAAUGUGUAUUAUUCACAUAUCUUGGAGGAAGGUCUGUGUCAUACUGAUUGAUUCCAUUGUCAACGGCAUCAAUUGCCUCCAUGAAGCUUUUGUAAACAGCCAAGAACAACCGAUGCACAUCUGGGUGCCCUUCAUCAAGCUGCAGCUCCUUAGCUAUUAUCUCCUUCCCAAAGUGCUUAUAAACAAGACCAGCGCUGCUAAGCUUGGUAGUGAACCCAUGUCCAAAGAUCUCCUCAAAUCCCUUCUGAUGGUGAUCGUAACGGUCACGACUUGGAUCAUAUACGCCCCCGACAUCAAGCACAGCAUCCAGACCCUCCAACACCUGAGUGUCGCGGGAGCGGACAAUUUCGGCAUUGGAGAACUUGUUGGUGAGACGAAUCAUAAAGCAGCCAAGAGCCUCGUCGCAGUGAAAGCUUCCAUUGUGAGUGCCUACUCGCUUUGGUGGAUGCUGGUAAGGGGAUCCAGUGGAGUAGGCAGGAGAAGAAACAGUUGAGGGAGAAGCCAUGAGAGGGAUUAAGACAGAACCAGAGAGAGCUUUGGGAAAGUUGAAGUUGGAGAAGAGCCUGCGGUUAAAACCCCUGUUUAGUGCCAACAUAGCCCUCGCCUCGCUUAAUUUUUCUGAAG
rnacentral:misc_RNA from 1 species